UCAAAAACUCACGGAGGUAUUAUGCCACGACGGUGCGCGUUUUUUCGUUUGCGCAACGUUGCCAGAUUGGACUCAGUCCACUCGAACCUCCCAGAUCGAAUUCCUGCCAUUUAGGAAGCCUGGCCAUAAAAUUAUAUGGUAUGGGUGUCACUGAAGGGAUACAUGUCCUCUGUAUAAAGCGAUGUUAUGUUCUUAGCGACAUUCAAAGUGUACAACAGAGUGUACAUUAUAUAUUAUUAGUUAUCCAGAGUGUGUCGUAUAUGUUUGGGAUGCGUCUAUACUCAUCUGUGUCAAUGCUGUCGAUGAUGUUUGGAGGGAGUUACUUGCUUUGGCAGCAUUAACUGAACUGUUGACUGAUCUGCUCAUGGCUGUUUUAUUUGUUGUAUGAUAACGACAAUGCCAAAGCACAGUGUGAAUUUACUUAAGCGAGGGUUUACAGCGCUAGUG
rnacentral:misc_RNA from 1 species